rnacentral:rRNA from 1 species
GGAAUAUUGCACAAUGGGGGAAACCCUGAUGCAGCAACGCCGCGUGAGUGAAGAAGUAUUUCGGUAUGUAAAGCUCUAUCAGCAGGGAAGAAGAAAGACGGUACCUGACUAAGAAGCCCCGGCUAACUACGUCCCAGCAGCCGCGGUAAUACGUAGGGGGCAAGCGUUAUCCGGAUUUACUGGGUGUAAAGGGAGCGUAGACGGCUGUGCAAGUCUGAAGUGAAAGCCCGUGGCUCAACCGCGGAACUGCUUUGGAAACUGUAUAGCUUGAGUACUGGAGAGGCAGGCGGAAUUCCUAGUGUAGCGGUGAAAUGCGUAGAUAUUAGGAGGAACACCAGUGGCGAAGGCGGCUUACUGGACUGUAACUGACGUUGAGGCUCGAAAGCGUGGGGAGCAAACA